CUCAAAUCAUCUUAAAACAAUAAUCCUAAAUAAUACUAAACAUAUAUGACAUAACCAGUAAUGACUUACGGAGCUGAAAGAAACUUUCUAACUUCUUAAUAAUAAGCCCAUUUUAAUCAACCAUGCUACAAGUCUGACUCGUCUUUCUCUUAUCUCUAUAGAAAAGGACAUCACCAAUCCAUUGCCAUUUUAAGAGGAGACAAAUGAGGAUGAAGCCAAAAUAUCGCUCCAGUUGAAAGAGCCUUGCUGGGAAACUCCAUUUCCGCUGCACCUGCCCUCUGGGCACCCCAGAGUCUGCCAGCAGCCGUGGCAGAUCCAUCACCCUGAAGAAACACAAGAUGAGUUUCCUUCCAGAGAGGCAGUAUGCCUCAGAACAAUCAUACUAUCGAGAAGUGACGAACUGGUGACUCAUGUAAGCCCCUCCAACAGAGGGACUUUCUGGAAAAGAUGCUUUACAAGAAAUUAAAUUGUCCUCUCUUGUGCGAAAGUGCCCAUCUCCUUGAAAUCAAUGAA
rnacentral:lncRNA from 1 species